AUGUCUCUUCUCUUUUUCCAAACUCCCCAGAUAUCUCAGGUCUGUGUUCUUGCUUGCCCCACCUAUGCCUCUCAGCCUACUCCUUUUUCUCACCUCUUUGCUGAAUUCUGCUCCACAGGAAACACAGUCCUUCCCAGCAGGUGCAUCACUCCAGCCGGACGAUGUCCCUUUCUUCUGCACUACAUUCCGAUUCUGCAAACAGAGUUUCAAGGACCAGCAGAGUGGCACAGAAUCCUUUUGGACAAGUGGAAAGGGACAAGGCUAUGAACAAAGCCAGGAACUGGGAUCCAAGGAGUAUUCCUUGCCCGAGGCCAGAAGGAGGAGAACUGCUGGGGUCUGUUUGUUCUUGCUUUCAGAAAUGAGCAGCACCCAAGAGCUUGAGGAGGAAGAGAUCUUUAUUUGUCGUCUUUCCAUGUCUUUUUUUCCUCCCUGGCCACUCCUGGAAAUGAGAAGUGUGUUUAGCUGCUGCCCUCAGGGAGAGCCCACCCUGGAGCCAAGGGUUUCAGCUCCCUGGCCAACAUGAGGCCAUCUCAGGCAGGCACGUUCCCUCUGGGAGCCUUCCCCUCUCUUUCUUAGUUUAUGAAAAGAAGGCAGGGGUGGUUUCUCAGGCCUCUCUCAACUCUGAAAUGUUAACAUUACCUAUUUAUGCCUCAAUAGUAGCAUAUUACCAACUUGGUAUGUGUGGCUGAAGGGGACAUGCCACCUCACAAUAUGCCUCUUUGGCACAAGAAUUGUUUUGAGCUGAAGGCAUAUGAGUUCUUGAAAUUACAAUUUGCCUAAAAGCACAGCCUCCCCCAAAGGUCCAGUGUCAUAGAGGCCCUCCCGGGACAGCUCUGAUCUUCCUUCUCAGACACCUUCUGGUCAGCACCACACACGGGUAC
rnacentral:lncRNA from 1 species